GUCUUUUGAUGUGUUUUUAGUGUUUUUCUGUGCAGGUCACGAGUUGAGGUGAUGAAGUGAUUUUCUAUCAUUUUAGGUUGUUUUUGGUGCAUUAUUUGCAAGAAUAGAGAAUUGUGGAUUCAUCGCGACUUGGGAUUUUGUGGGUAUAUCUUCUACAAACCCUCACGAGAGCACACUCGUCCACUAGAGCUAUCUAGGGGUUUAAAGGGCUUGUUGCAUGUGCUAAAUGCAACCGUGAUCACCUACGGAAGUGGUACUAGAGCGAGGAAGGACAUGCACGCGAGAACGAGCUGAAAACGAAGAAUCAGGGCUGCCAGGGCAGACAGUAGCGCGCCCGCGCUAACCUCUAGCGCGCCCGCGCUACCUACUGCUGCCACUAGCGCGCCUGCGCUAGUUUAGCGCGGUCGCGCCCAGCAGAAGUGCCCCGGGCCGAUUUUUACAGCUUUUCUGACGGAUUUUAGCAGCGGUCGAGGCCCGGUUGACUUGGUCAAUUUAUUUUAAUUUCUCGUGUGUAAAACCCUAGCCUCCAAG
rnacentral:lncRNA from 1 species